GACGAACGCUGGCGGCGUGCUUAACACAUGCAAGUCGAACGAAGUGGCGAACGGGUGAGUAACGCGGAAUCAACCUGCCCUUCAGAGGGGGACAACAGUGGGAAACGAAUGCUAAUACCGCAUACGGAAGGAGGGGAUGGAGUCUGAUUAGCGAGUUGGAGGGGUAACGGCCCACGACGGCGAUGAUCAGUAACCGGUCUGAGAGGAUGAACGGCCACAUUGGGACUGAGACACGGCCCAGACUCCUACGGGAGGCAGCAGUGGGGAAUCUUCCGCAAUGGACGAAAGUCUGACGGGGCAACGCCGCGUGAGUGAUGACGGCCUUCGGGUUUUAAAGCUCUGUUAAUCGGGACGCGGUACCGGAAUAGAAAGCCACGGCUAACUACGUGCCAGCAGCCGCGGUAAUAC
rnacentral:rRNA from 1 species